rnacentral:SRP_RNA from 1 species
GGUCGGGUCCCAUGCAAGCGCCGCACGUGAACCUGGUCAGGUAGGGAACUAAGCAGCCAUAAGCGAUUGCGUCGCUGUGCUGUGGUAAACCCGGCCACC